UAGCAAUAUCCCUAUGAAACAGAAAGAGUGAAAGUUAUCUGCAUUAGUAUUUUAAGUUUGCACUGUUAGAGCACUUCUGAAGUUAAUCUCCUGAUUGUCCCCACCUACUCUGCUUUGGUUUAUACUGUGUAGAGGUUGGAGUAACAGAGCUGGAUUCUCACUGGAUGAAACUAAUAUAAAGAUGAACACCAAGGGUCCAGCUUCAUGAAUGCUCAGGAUUAAAGCAGGAUUAGACUCUACUUCACACAAAUGAAAAAAACCUCUAUAGGGUGGGUGAGUUCUGAUGGUCAACAUCAGCUCCUUACCUUCAACUCUUUCAGUCUCCACAUCUGAUCCUUCUGUUUCACUACUUGCUAUUGUAGACAAAGCCUGAACAAUUUGCUGAAGGCCAAAAAGUAUGUCAAAAGCAUUGUGAAGACACAGCUCAGCCCUUCUGAGUUUCUUGUUCUCUUCAAGGACUUGAAACCCUGAGUGAGACACCUGUGGUUUGAAGGUUAUUCGUUGAGUUUAUCUGUAUCUGAUGGUCCCUGACAUUGCAUUAUGCCUAUGGUCUAGAGCAGAACUCAAUCCUGUUCUCUUAAACAGAGCUGUGAGCACAGGAGCAGCCAUUUCCACACAGCCUCACACCUCCUGCACUCACCACAGGCAGCAGGAAACAAAGACGCUGAGAAAUCAGAAGUGA
rnacentral:lncRNA from 1 species